GACCAAAUGAAAUCAUCAGCAGCGUACCUGUUUGGUGGAACCCCUGCAGUAGACCUACUGGAUCUCCGGAGGUCUUGACUAUCUGCUAGGACCUGACUUUCUCCACUGGGACCUGCCAGUCUGGAUUUAUC